UACGUAGGGUGCAAGCGUUAAUCGGAAUCACUGGGCGUAAAGCGCGCGUAGGCGGUUUGUUAAGUGGGAUGUGAAAUCCCCGGGCUUAACCUGGGAAUUGCAUUUCAAACUGGCCGACUAGAGUACGGUAGAGGGAGGUAGAAUUUCCUGUGUAGCGGUGAAAUGCGUAGAUAUAGGAAGGAAUACCAGUGGCGAAGGCGGCCUCCUGGAUCGAUACUGACGCUGAGGCGCGAAAGCGUGGGGAGCAAACAGG
rnacentral:rRNA from 2 species